rnacentral:rRNA from 1 species
UACAGAGGGUGCAAGCGUUGCUCGGAUUUACUGGGCGUAAAGCGUGCGCAGACGGCUGAGCAAGUUGGACGUGAAAGCCUGGGGCUCAACCCCAGAAUUGCGUUCAAUACUACUCGGCUCGAGUAUGGGAGAGGAAAGUGGAAUUCCUGGUGUAGAGGUGAAAUUCGUAGAUAUCAGGAGGAACACCAGCGGCGAAGGCGGCUUUCUGGCCCAUUACUGACGUUCAGGCACGAAAGCGUGGGGAGCAAACAGGAUUAGAUACCCUGGUAGUCCACGCUGUAAACGAUGCAUACUAGCUGUCGGGGGUAUAAACUCCCUCGGUAGCGCAGCUAACGCGUUAAGUAUGCCGCCUGGGGAGUACGGCCGCAAGGUUG